UAUGAAUGUUAACUUGAGCUCAUGCAAAGAGAUGUCCCUUGUAGCUCAAAAAAGUCUUCCAAAAUGAGCUGAUGAAAAUUUUAUCACGAUCGCUAACGAUGGAGGCCAGCAUACCAUGAAGUUGAAAGACUUGGUCGAGAAAGGCUUUGGCCACGGUGGAGGUAGUAAAUGGGUGCUUCAUCGAGGUAAAAUGUGCAAACUUCGUUAGACGAUCGACGACCACCAUGAUGAUUGUAAACACAUGCAAUGGCAGUAAACCCUCCAUGAUGGAAAUGUCAAUCCAUAUUUUCUCUGGUAUCGGUACCGACUGGAGCAAAUCGACAAGACACAAGCAUUCGGACUUACAACGCUGGCAGACAUCACAAGUUCUUAUGAAGUCUUUGACUGUAGUUCGGAUGUGAGGCCAAGUGAAGCUGGCGGCAAUGCAGCUUAGAGUUUUGUGAUAGCCAAAAUGUCCACCGAACGGAGAAGAAUGGUGUGCGGAUAAAAUAGCAGGUAGCAAUGGGGAAGUAGCACUCAAAUAACUGCACCCUUUUUUAAAUAGAACUCCAUUGCAUAGAGAGAAUUGCAGUUGGAGAUGUGAUGGCAUGGAGCUCAAUAACUUACUGUAGAAGGGGUCGUUGGCCACCUCGGCUUGGAGUAUGGACCACCAAUUUGCAACAGGAAGAGACAUGGCCAGAAACACAAGUUCCCCACCUCGUGAGAGAGCAUUGGCCCCACAAUUGUCUUUCCCCUUCUUGUAUUAAAUAUGAUAGUCAUACCCGAGAAUCUUUGGUAACCACCAUGUUUGUGCCGGAGUGGUGAUGAGUUGCUCCAACAAGUAUUUCAAACUCCUUUGAUCAGUGCGGACAGUGAAGGGUUUCCCCAGCAAGUAUGGUCUCCAUCUCCGGAUGGCCUUAACAAUCGCGAGCAUUUCCUUCUCGUAUGUUGAUAAAGCUUGGGUUGUUGGCUUAAGAGUUUCACUGAAAUAGGCAAUGGGAUGACCUUCUUGGGAAAAAAUAGCUCCAAUGCCUCCCCCACAAGCAUCGCAUUCGACCACAAAUGGUUGUGAAAAUCUGGUAAGCGAAGAACUGGGGAAGACGUCAGGGCCUCCUUUAACUAAGAAAAUGUGGCUACAGCCUCGGAUGUCCAUUAGAAUCCUUCUCUGGACAUUAAGCGGUUGAGAGGUGCAACUAGCCUACUAAAGCCCCGAAUAAAUUUACAGUAGUAGCCGGCCAACCCAAGGAAACUGCGAAAACUCUUUCCUGAUGUUGGGGUAAGCCAUUCUAGCACUUAAUUAAUUUUCUCUGGAUUCACGGCCACACCUGUAAAGAAAAUAAUAUGUCCUAAAUAUGCCACCUGCGUAACACCAAAACAACAUUUAGAUUAUUUGGCGAACAAUUGAUUGUGGGAUAGGACGGGGAGGACUGCCUUAGGUGACCGAGGUGAUCGGCCCGACCUUUUUGUACACCAAGAUGUCAUCAAAAAAUACCAGGACAAACUUCCGCAAAUAGGGACGCAAUAAAUCAUUCAUUAGACUCUAAAAGGUGGAUGGGGCGUUGGUCAACCCAAAGGGCAUGACAAUGAAUUCAUAGUGAUCAUCAUGAGUGCAGGAGGCUGUUUUGAUGUCAGCCUCGUGAACACGUAUUUGAUGGUAGUCGGCACGCAAAUCAAGUUUGGAAAAAUACCUGGAUCUAUGUAAUUCAUCAAGAAGCUCAUCAAUGACUGGGAUCGGGUACUUAUCUUUGAUGGUAAUGUGCUUGAAAAGCUCGAUAGUCAACACAGAGCCACCAUCCUCCAUCUGCUAUUUUGACAAGUAAAACUGGUGAUGAAAAAGGACUUUUGCUAGGCCGGAUCAGCCCAAAGUUGAAGAAUUCCCACACCAUUUUUUCAAUCUUCGAUUUCUGAUAGUAGGGGUAUCGGUAUGGUUGUACACUCACCGAUUAUUGGUUUGGUUGUAGCAAAAUUUUAUGAUCAUGGGCACGGGUUGGUGGCAAGGAGUUUGGAGUAUCGAAGACAUGGGCAAACUCGUCGAGGAUGCUUGUAAGGUCGGCUGGGUGAGUCGUGGCUGGAGGAACCUCAACGCAUGGAGUAAUCUGGAGGAAUAAGGAAGAUCCUUCAAGGUGGCCGAUCCUUCAAGGUGUAGGAGUUCCUUGCCAUUCAAGGCGUCGGGGGCUGAGAGCUUAAGGCCCUGGAACAUAAAAGGUUUCCCUCUGUGUCAAAAGGACAUUGUUAGCUUACUAUAAUCCAAUUCAAUGGGACCUAGGGUGGCUAGCCACUGGACCCCCAAGACUGCUUGACAUGCUGCCACAGGUAAGAUGUAAAAAUUAGCCUAUACUAGAUGAUCUUGGAUUACCAAAGUGAGUCUCAAACAUCGUCCAAUUCAAUCAAUCUUGUCCCUGUUGGCCACCAUUACUUGUAGUUGUUAAUCUAAUGUAACGGGCAAGCCGAACUUAGUUACCACAACUUGAUCAAGAAAGUUGUGAGUGCUCCCUCCGUCGAUGAGAACAGCCACUGGUUU
rnacentral:lncRNA from 1 species